rnacentral:rRNA from 1 species
UACGUAGGGGGCUAGCGUUGUCCGGAUUUAUUGGGCGUAAAGAGCGUGUAGGCGGCCAGGUAGGUCUGCUGUGAAAACUCGAGGCUCAACCUCGAGACGUCGGCGGAAACCAUCUGGCUAGAGUCCGGAAGAGGAGAGUGGAAUUCCUGGUGUAGCGGUGAAAUGCGCAGAUAUCAGGAAGAACACCUAUGGCGAAAGCAGCUCUCUGGGACGGUACUGACGCUGAGGCGCGAAAGCGUGGGGAGCGAACAGG